rnacentral:lncRNA from 1 species
GUUAACCCUAUGGGGAAAAGGUAGCCUCCUGAGAGGUAGCCUCCCGAUGUGAGGCUAAUUUCUAUGACGUCAAUUUAAGUAUUUUGAAAUUAAUUAAUUAAAUUAAUUAAAUUAAUUACUUUAGAUAAGGUCAUUAUUAAGUGUUACUAAUUAAUUGGCGUUAUUGAAUAAGUAUAUAUAUAUAUUUUCUUUAUAUUUGAUGAAAAUUCCCAGUCUAUAAAUAGAUACACAGGAAAACCCCACCUUAGUGUGUAUUAACAGAUCAUUAAUUAUUGUAUUAUACAUGUUAUAUGUCUCUGGUAUUAUUUAUUCACCUACGGCUAUUUAUCUCUGAU